rnacentral:rRNA from 1 species
CCUACGGGUGGCAGCAGUGGGGAAUAUUGGACAAUGGGCGAAAGCCUGAUCCAGCCAUGCCGCGUGUGUGAAGAAGGCCUUCGGGUUGUAAAGCACUUUCGGUGGGGAAGAAAGCCUUGGGGCUAAUACCCUCGAGGAAGGACAUCACCCACAGAAGAAGCACCGGCUAACUCCGUGCCAGCAGCCGCGGUAAUACGGAGGGUGCGAGCGUUAAUCGGAAGUACUGGGCGUAAAGCGCGCGUAGGCGGUCUGAUAAGCCGGUUGUGAAAGCCCCGGGCUCAACCUGGGAACGGCAUCCGGAACUGUCAGGCUAGAGUGCAGGAGAGGAAGGUAGAAUUCCCGGUGUAGCGGUGAAAUGCGUAGAGAUCGGGAGGAAUACCAGUGGCGAAGGCGGCCUUCUGGACUGACACUGCCGCUGAGGUGCGAAAGCGUGGGUAGCAAACAGGAUUAGAUACCCCAUAGUC